rnacentral:rRNA from 1 species
UCCUACGGGAGGCAGCAGUGGGGAAUAUUGCACAAUGGACGAAAGUCUGAUGCAGCAACGCCGCGUGGAGGAUGACACAUUUCGGUGCGUAAACUCCUUUUAUAUAGGAAGAUAAUGACGGUACUAUAUGAAUAAGCACCGGCUAACUCCGUGCCAGCAGCCGCGGUAAU